UAGCUCAAUUGGUAGAGCAACUGACUUGUAAUCAGUAGGUUGGGGGGUAGGUUGGGGGUUCAAGUCCUNN
rnacentral:tRNA from 1 species